rnacentral:rRNA from 1 species
GGGCAGUGCGGCGUGCUAUACAUGCAAGUCGAGCGGACAGAUGGGAGCUUGCUCCCUGAUGUUAGCGGCGGACGGGUGAGUAACACGUGGGUAACCUGCCUGUAAGACUGGGAUAACUCCGGGAAACCGGGGCUAAUACCGGAUGGUUGUUUGAACCGCAUGGUUCAAACAUAAAAGGUGGCUUCGGCUACCACUUACAGAUGGACCCGCGGCGCAUUAGCUAGUUGGUGAGGUAACGGCUCACCAAGGCAACGAUGCGUAGCCGACCUGAGAGGGUGAUCGGCCACACUGGGACUGAGACACGGCCCAGACUCCUACGGGAGGCAGCAGUAGGGAAUCUUCCGCAAUGGACGAAAGUCUGACGGAGCAACGCCGCGUGAGUGAUGAAGGUUUUCGGAUCGUAAAGCUCUGUUGUUAGGGAAGAACAAGUACCGUUCGAAUAGGGCGGUACCUUGACGGUACCUAACCAGAAAGCCACGGCUAACUACGUGCCAGCAGCCGCGGUAAUACGUAGGUGGCAAGCGUUGUCCGGAAUUAUUGGGCGUAAAGGGCUCGCAGGCGGUUUCUUAAGUCUGAUGUGAAAGCCCCCGGCUCAACCGGGGAGGGUCAUUGGAAACUGGGGAACUUGAGUGCAGAAGAGGAGAGUGGAAUUCCACGUGUAGCGGUGAAAUGCGUAGAGAUGUGGAGGAACACCAGUGGCGAAGGCGACUCUCUGGUCUGUAACUGACGCUGAGGAGCGAAAGCGUGGGGAGCGAACAGGAUUAGAUACCCUGGUAGUCCACGCCGUAAACGAUGAGUGCUAAGUGUUAGGGGGUUUCCGCCCCUUAGUGCUGCAGCUAACGCAUUAAGCACUCCGCCUGGGGAGUACGGUCGCAAGACUGAAACUCAAAGGAAUUGACGGGGGCCCGCACAAGCGGUGGAGCAUGUGGUUUAAUUCGAAGCAACGCGAAGAACCUUACCAGGUCUUGACAUCCUCUGACAAUCCUAGAGAUAGGACGUCCCCUUCGGGGGCAGAAUGACAGGUGGUGCAUGGUUGUCGUCACCUCCUGUCCUGAAAAUGUUGGGGUUAAGUCCCCGCAACGAACCGCAACCCCUUGAUUCUUAAUUUGCCCAGCAUUUCAGUUGGGGCACUCUUAAGGUGACUGGCCGGUGAACAAACCGGAAGAAGAGUGGGGGAUUAAACUUCAAAUAUUCAUGGCCCCCUUAUAGACCGGGGGGUACAACCCGUGGUUAAAAGGGGACAAAAAAAAAGGGGGGGCCCAAACCCGCGGGGGUUAGGCCAUUUCCCCA